GUAAGGAAUAUUGGUCAAUGGAGGCAACUCUGAACCAGCCAUGCCGCGUGCAGGAAGACGGCCCUCUGGGUUGUAAACUGCUUUUAUCUAGGAAUAAACCUACUUACGUGUAAGUAGCUGAAUGUACUAGAAGAAUAAGGAUCGGCUAACUCCGUGCCAGCAGCCGCGGUAAUACGGAGGAUCCAAGCGUUAUCCGGAUUUAUUGGGUUUAAAGGGUGCGUAGGCGGCCUAUUAAGUCAGGGGUGAAAGACGGUAGCUCAACUAUCGCAGUGCCCUUGAUACUGAUGGGCUUGAAUGAACUAGAGGUAGGCGGAAUGUGACAAGUAGCGGUGAAAUGUUUAGAUAUGUCACAGAACACCGAUUGCGAAGGCAGCUUACUAUGGUUUUAUUGACGCUGAGGCACGAAAGCGUGGGGAUCAAACAGGAUUAGAAACCCUAGUAGUCC
rnacentral:rRNA from 1 species